UACAGAGGGGGCAAGCGUUGUUCGGAAUUACUGGGCGUAAAGGGCGCGUAGGCGGCCUUCUAAGUCCGACGUGAAAUCCCUCGGCUCAACCGGGGAACUGCGUCUGAGACUGGAAGGCUUGAAUCCGGGAGAGGGAUGUGGAAUUCCAGGUGUAGCGGUGAAAUGCGUAGAUAUCUGGAGGAACACCGGUGGCGAAGGCGGCAUCCUGGACCGGUAUUGACGCUGAGGCGCGAAAGCCAGGGGAGCAAACGGG
rnacentral:rRNA from 1 species